rnacentral:rRNA from 1 species
UACGAAGGGGGCUAGCGUUGUUCGGAAUUACUGGGCGUAAAGGGCGUGUAGGCGGAGAUGUAAGUCUAUUCUGAAAGCUCCUGGCUAAACUGGGAGAGGCGAAUGGAGACUGCAUAUCUAGAGUGAGGAAGAGGAAAGUGGAAUUCCGCGUGUAGUGGUGAAAUGCGUAGAGAUCGGGAGGAACACCUGUGGCGAAGGCGGCCCCCUGGGCCGGCCCUGACACUGAGACGCGAAGGCGUGGGGAGCGAACGGG